rnacentral:rRNA from 1 species
GUGGCAGGCGACAAGCUCCCGUUGGAUUCGUUCCCGUACAUGGAGCUGGAGGAGGCCGUGCUCUGGGAAGUCGAUGGCCAAUGGGUCGUUCAAGAAGCAUUUGACUCGGACAUUGGUGCCAACCCCUCUGCUGAGGGUGGUGGUGACGACAAGGGUGUCGAUGGCCAAGCUGUGAAGGUGGUUGACACCUUCCGUCUUCAGGAGCGACCUGCCUUUGACAAGAAGCAGUUUGUCACUCACAUGAAGCGCUGCAUCAAGAUCCUCGGUGCCAAGCUUGAAUGAGAGGAGCAAGCUCAAGGCCCCUGA